rnacentral:rRNA from 1 species
AAUCAACGCUGGCGGCGUGCCUAACACAUGCAAGUCGAACGCGAAAGUCCCGCAAGGGGAUCAGUAGAGUGGCAAACGGGUGAGUAACACGUGGGUGACCUGCCUUCGAGGUGGGGAUAACGUCCCGAAGGGACGCUAAUACCGCAUGACAUCCUGCCUUUGAAGAGGCGGAGAUCAAAGGCUGGGGAUCGCAAGACCUAGCGCUUGAAGAGGGGCCCGCGUCCGAUUAGCAGGUUGGUGGGGUAAGUGGCUCACCAAGGCGACCGAUCGGUAGCCGGCCUGAGAGGGCGGACGGCCACACUGGGACUGAGACACGGCCC